rnacentral:ncRNA from 1 species
UCAUAACCACGAGUGGUUGGGUGAAGAAGUCAGCAGAAGUCAUAGUACUUGGGGCAACGAGUUACCAAUAGAAAGGUAUAGGACUCACAAACAAGGAAGGAC